CAAAAAAUAGUUUAUUUAAAAUAUUAAUUUUGGGGAUUAAAGAAAUAUAGAAAAUUAUUAUUUUUUUGA
rnacentral:tRNA from 1 species